GUUAAACCAAAAUGUAUGUGUGGCUUAUCUGAAAUUCAAAUUUAACCGGGCCCCUUGUGUGUUUAUUUGUAAAUCUGGCAGCCCCAUCGAAGAGCAAACAGGGAAGCAACUGGCGCAGAUCGUUACUAAUGCUAUCACGACUCGGGCUCUGGCACUGCCCUUGGCCCGCGCGGUGACACCCGUGAAGGUCUACCAGCUGGCUGGCUGGGCUGACCCAGCCCUUGCACACGAGCGUGUGCACGCACACAUAACUGCAGACGGGGAAGGUACCCUGGAAAUGAUUUGCCCUGCAUUCCCAGCCUGACCGCUGGCCGCACCUCCCUCAUUACGGAGCCACGUGGUUGAAGCACCCAAUUCCCAGGCCUCCCCCAACCACCAGUAACCAACAUUUUGAAGUAAAGAGGGUGAUUCUCUUCGGCAGCAGCCAGGGCUCUACCUGUGUUGUGCAGGGUUUUCCAGACCGUACGAGUCCACCCUCACGUCUGCGAGCCACAUUGUUUUCCUUCUGGUAAUAGAUGCAGCAAAUAUAGCCGAGAAAUUUCCUUCAUCCAUAAUCCCGGGCCCUGAAAUAGUAAGUUAUGGAAGUUUCCCCCAGGCUCAGCCAGAAGACAGCUGCCGGACAGCAUUAGGUAAUGUUUCAGAAUAAAUGUGGUCAGG
rnacentral:lncRNA from 1 species